CCCUGUGGGCGGGGGCGCCGCCGUUGCCAUGGCGAGGAGGGAAAUGGCGGCCGCCAUUCUGCUCACCCCGCCCUCCCCCUGUGGCGGGCCAAGGCUUGAGGCUGCUGCUUGGGCUAGUGUGAAAGAAAGCCAUAAUUGCUGGUAAUGAGAGCAACAGAACACUGCCUGAAGAGGAUUGUAUUUUCACAUUGACACACACUCCUCUGAUCGUCUCAGAAGGUUGCUGCAGAAGUAUUUGCCGUGCACAAACGCAGAUAACGGGUCACACUUCACAGCUGCCAUCGUCCAGGAGUGGGCCAAGGAAGAAGGAAUCCAGUGGAUAUUUCACACACCAUAUUAUCCACAAGCAAAUGGCAUAGUGGAAAGAACAAAUGGCCUGCUUAAAUGAUUUCUAAAACCUCAGAAAUCCAACUGGACUAACCGACUAUGGGAUGCUGUAAAAAUGGUGAAUGACAGAUGGGGAGUAAAUGGCUGUCCCAGACUCAGAGCUUUUUAUCCACAGCCUCCCUCUCUGAUACCAGCAACAUCAAAACAUGAGAGUAAUCAGAAACCUUCUCACCUUCCUGGACAACCUGUAUUAGUGGAACUACCUACUGUAGGAGCUGUACCAAUGGUACUCACCACUCCCUUGAACAUAUACACCUGGAAAGCAAAAGAUGGUUAUGGCAAAGAACACAAAAUAAGCUCUCGGUGGAUUGUUCCUACAUUUUAAUAUUGGGCCCUAAAAGGGGCCAGAAAGAUCUUUUUCUUUUCUUUUACAGGUAACUGCCCAACGGAGAAAAGUAUUCAGAACUGUGAAUGAAUAAUCUCAGAUUUGGACUAUGGUUCAGUUUACUGGUAACUGUAGUUAUAAUUUGUUAGUUAUGUUUGUAUGGUUACUUACCUUGUACGUGUGCUUAGCAGAACAGACUGUUAAAAGUGAAAAUCAAAGGAACCUUGCCUGGGAACUAGACAAAGGGUUUGCAAAAAUAUGGAAUCAUACCGAUCAGGGUCUAUGUGUAACUUUACCAGAGUCUGCUGAACAAGGAUUGUGAUUUUUUAUGAUACCUUUGAAUUUAUCCUUUGUUUUUAACAUGGCUAGCGUGACAGCCCCAUUGCCCCACACCCGAAAAGUGGACCAACAAGACCAACGGAGCCCAAAUACUCUGGAAAGAUAUUCCUAUAGUACAUGGCCUUUACCAAACUUACACCCCAUCUCCUAAUAUGACUCAAGACUGGAUGUCACGCACCAAAUAUUGUAAAACAAUAAGGUAAAUAUAACCAUCUUAUCUCCAACUGAAUCCCCUCACCCGUCUAUUACAUCAAGUAAAGGUGAAUUUAAACCUGGAAUAAUAACCUUUGAGAAAUAUAAUGCUAGACAACCCUGCCUUAUUUAGACACGUAAUCCACUCUUUGACCCAUUAUACUCACCAGAUGUAUACAAAAGUAAAACAUGCCACAGUUUUUAGUCCUUCCUGGUGUGUACAACUUCCUAACGUAACAAAUAUAACUCCAAUUAACAAGAAAAACUUAAUGUGGGCAUGGUCUGUACAAGCAUUUUUUGAAUUCAAAUUUACAGAACCCAAAUUUACCGUGCCUCAGGUAGAAGAAAGUCCCUUAUUCAAUUGCUCAAAGGUUAUAACAUGCAAAGAAGGACCAGGAGAUCCUCCAGAAACAUGGUUUUCACUCAGAACUAGAACUUUGAUAAGAGAUAUGUGUACUUGUUGGAGAUACCCUUCUAAAGGCUGGAGAAAUCAGGAUGAAUCCUGUAACUCGACCUACAAAUAUCUUCUUAAUCCCUGUGGAGUUCCCUAUACCCACUACCCAAUCCACGGUACUCCAAUAAAUACUAAACCAAAAAUCACCAUCCUUGACCAUGCAGACAAUACUGACUGUAAAACUGCAAAAUAUAUAGCCCCUCUGGGAAUGGCUUAGGGAUGCUCUGAUGGAAAGUUUUAUUCGCAUUUGUCAUUAGAGCAGCAUGCUGGACUUAGGUGUAGUCCUGGAAUUCCCUCUCUUUGCCCCAGACAUGUCUUUACUUUUACUAAAGGGUCUAAAGAACAUCAUCAUCGCAGUGUUAUUCCCUCUCCAAAAUCAACACAAAGGCCAGAAUGGGCAGUUAAAGGAGUUGAUUUUCCAGAUUAUUACACCACCUGGCAAAAAGCAUCCCUUUUUCUUGAGAAUUUCUUUACCCCCUAUGUCACCUUAAAAAGACACCAAUUUGUAUUAGAAGAUAUUACCUGGCAAUUAAGUGUUUUAAGCAAUUGGACACAACAUGCAUUUGGGGAAUCAAACACUCAAGUCCAGCAAACUACUAAGAUGACAUUGCAAAACAGAUUAGCAUUAGAUAUGUUACUGUUAAAAGAACAAGGUGUUUGUGGAAUGUUAAAUUUAUCAGAAACCGAAUGCUGUGUAACAAUUUAUAAUGCUUCAACCUCCAUUGAGAAGGCAUGAACAACAAUGAAAGAAAUAAGUAACCACACUAGAAAUUUGUUUUAUGCAAUGCAACCACCAGAAGUGUUAGAUGGAACAUGGGUUACCAACAUCCUAGAGUCUUUUGGACUCACUGGAUGGGGAAAAUGGAUAGCACAAAUUGGAAUAGCAAUUGUCAUUGGAAUUUUGUUCCUAAUUACUGGCAUUGACCUAGUUAAAUGCAUGAUAGACCACUUGCUUGUUUAUUUCUCCCCCUUCGCUAUAUUCGCUAUAUUCACAUUACCACCAUUGAAGAAAACUACCUUGAUGUGCCGAGAAACAAUGUCGAACCACGAAGAACCACGGGGUGUGUAACAGACAGAUAACAUACAAAUGCCAAAAAUUAUGUUUUGCCAUUGUUUCUGCCUGUCAAAAACUUCCUACCAAAAAUUCUGUGUCAGUUUUCCAUCAGAAGUCCUCACCAGAAUUUUCCUACUGGAGUUUUCCUGCCAAAAGAUCCUGGUAUUGUUCAUGAUUAUCAUAUCUCUGCGAACAUAUGAAUAGGGCUACGUGCCAAGAAACCACACACAACCUCCUCGGAACACUGUAAAAGAUGAGGAAAAGUUUGGGAAAAGCAGGGAAAGAGGAGUGGGAGAGAGAAUUGGCUAUAGCAGCUAAGGAUCUCCUCCGCCUCGCCCUCACCUUUUCUUCUGCCACCGUAAGCUGCCUGCCAUCACCAGAGACUGGACUUCUGCCGCCUUGAAGUGGACUGAGACUCACCGUGCCACCCACGUGAGUUUCUCCACCCUGACCGUAUUUCUGAGGGCCAAGAGGUGCAGGUCGAGACCUCCACACAGCCUGGGACACAGCCCGGUGUGAGCGGCGGCGAGGCCCACAGCCUGGCUGCAUUCCAGAGAACUAAGACCCCCUGCAGCUAAAGAGAUAACAUCGAAAGCGGCAGAGACCAGAGAAAAAAAAAGGCAAAAAACUGCUUCUCUCUCUCUCCCCCCCCCACCCUACAGACCAGCUCAGAUGAAAAGUUAGUUUUGAUGGUGUCUUUUCUCUGCUUCUAAAAGUAAUCUUAGCAUUUUCCAGCCUUUUCUUAUUUU